rnacentral:lncRNA from 1 species
UUUUUCUUUUUUCAUAAAUUAUGCCAUUAAUACAUUAUUUUAUUAUUAUUACCCAUCACAUAUUGCUUAUCCUCAUUGUCAUGGCCGGCCACUACUAUCAAAGUGGGGAAAUUGACAUGCAAGUCCACCCUUUUGAUUACAUUCAUUAUUGAACCACUUCUAGGAUUACCUAUCCCAUUUCACAUUUGUCUCACAUAAGUCCUAUUAAAAAGAUUCACAUUCAAAUGAAUAAAUUAAAGAUUGAAAUUUUCACACAUGCAUGUUCAUGCACAAUAAACAUAGAAAAUAACGGUUCUUUAUUUUUAUAACUCGGUUUUGUGGUCCCGAAACC